UACGAAGGGGGCUAGCGUUGCUCGGAAUUACUGGGCGUAAAGCGCACGUAGGCGGCUUUCUAAGUCGGGGGUGAAAUCCUGGAGCUCAACUCCAGAACUGCCUUCGAUACUGGAGAGCUCGAGUCCGGGAGAGGCGAGUGGAAUUCCGAGUGUAGAGGUGAAAUUCGUAGAUAUUCGGAAGAACACCAGUGGCGAAGGCGACUCGCUGGACAAGUAUUGACGCUGAGGUGCGAAAGCGUGGGGAGCAAACAGGGAUUAAGAA
rnacentral:rRNA from 1 species